GACGAACCACACAAACGUUAUUCGGAAUUACUGGGCUUAAAGGGUGCGUAGGCGGCGGGGCAAGUCAGGUGUGAAAUCCCGGAGCUCAACUCCGGAACUGCACUUGAUACUGCCUCGCUAGAGUACUGGAGAGGAGACUGGAAUUUACGGUGUAGCAGUGAAAUGCGUAGAGAUCGUAAGGAAGACCAGUGGCGAAGGCGAGUCUCUGGACAGUUACUGACGCUGAGGCACGAAGGCCAGGGGAGCAAACGGG
rnacentral:rRNA from 1 species